rnacentral:tRNA from 4 species
CGGGACGUAGCACAGCUUGGUAGUGCGCUCGCUUUGGGAGCGAGAGGUCGAGUGUUCGAAUCACUCCGUCCCGACCA